UGAGCAGUUGAAAAAUGGCUAGUUCACACGUGUCCGGAGAGCUGGACUGCGGGUUUCUCCUUGGAACAGCGGCGGGAAGGGGAGAGUAUGAUCUGCGGGGACCAGAGUCAUGCAGGACAGGCAUUUAGAAAGUUUCUCCCUCUCUUUGACUGUGUAUUAGUUGAAAGGAGUGCAGCCGAAACUGUAACCAAAGGAGGCAUUAUGCUUCCAGAAAAAUCUCAAGGAAAAGUAUUGCAGGCAACAGUAGUGGCUGUUGGAUCAGGCUCUAAAGGAAAGGGUGGAGAGAUUCAACCAGUUAGUGUGAAAGUUGAAGAUAAAGUACUUCUUGCAGAAUAUGGAGGCACCAAAGUAGUUCUAGAUGACAAGGAUUAUUUCUUAUUUAGAGAUGGUGGCAUUCUUGGAAAAUACAUAGACUGAAAUGUCACUAUCGAAAUGGCAUCACGUGAAGCUGCCCUUUCCACUGAAGUUCUGAAAUCUUUCCAUCAUGUAAAUAAUUUCCACGUCUCUCUUUUAUAAUAAACUAAUGAUAUCCAAACUAAUGACAUCUAGUGUCUCUCAAAUUUAGUUUCACUGUACAGAUAGAAACAUUUCCAAAUAAAAAUAUAUAAAUGAAAAAAAA